rnacentral:tRNA from 4 species
GCGUUUAGCUCAGCUGGUUCAGAGCGUCUGCCUUACAAGCAGAGGGUCGGCGGUUCGAAUCCGUCAACGCC